GAUGAACGCUGACAGAAUGCUUAACACAUGCAAGUCGACUUGAAGCAACUUCGGUUAUGGAAAGUGGCGGACGGGUGAGUAACGCGUAAAGAACUUGCCCUUCAGUCUGGGACAACCAUUGGAAACGAUGGCUAAUACCGGAUAUUAUGGAACUCUCGCAUGGGAGGAUCAUGAAAGCUAUAUGCGCUGAAGGAGAGCUUUGCGUUCCAUUAGCUAGUUGGUGAGGUAACGGCUCACCAAGGCGACGAUGGAUAGCCGGCCUGAGAGGGUGAUCGGCCACAAGGGGACCGAGACACGGCCCUUACUCCUACGGGAGGCAGCAGUGGGGAAUAUUGGACAAUGGACCAAAAGUCUGAUCCAGCAAUUCUGUGUGCACGAUGAAGGUUUUCGGAUCGUAAAGUGCUUUCAGUUGGGAAGAAGAAAGUGACGGUACCAACAGAAGAAGCGACGGCUAAAUACGUGCCAGCAGCCGCGGUAAUACGUAUGUCGCAAGCGUUAUCCGGAUUUAUUGGGCGUAAAGCGCGUCUAGGCGGGUUCAUAAGUCUGAUGUUAAAAUGCGGGGCUCAACUCCGUAUUGCGUUGGAAACUGUGAACCUAGAGUAUCAGAGAGGUGGGCGGAACUACAAGUGUAGAGGUGAAAUUCGUAGAUAUUUGUAGGAAUGCCGACGGAGAAGUCAGCUCACUGGAUGAAUACUGACGCUAAAGCGCGAAAGCGUGGGUAGCAAACAGG
rnacentral:rRNA from 1 species